UCUUUGUCUCUUUAGAGGAAGUAUAAGUCGUAACAAGGUUUCCGUAGGUGAACCUGCGGAAGGAUCAUUAACGAGGUAGGGUUCUCCCCCGGGAAGCCCGAACUCCCCACCCUUUGCUGUUGCGAAUACGUUGCUUCGGCGGGACCCCCCCCUCUACCCUUCACCGGGGAGGGGGAGGGACCGGGCCUUCACGGGCCCGGGCAGCGCCCGCCGGGGGACCAAACCAACUCUUUUGUUAAACAAUGCAGUCGGAGUACAAUGUACAAAAUCAAAUUAAAACUUUCAACAACGGAUCUCUUGGUUCUGGCAUCGAUGAAGAACGCAGCGAAAUGCGAUAAGUAAUGUGAAUUGCAGAAUUCAGUGAAUCAUCGAAUCUUUGAACGCACAUUGCGCCCCUUGGUAUUCCGAGGGGCAUGCCUGUUCGAGCGUCAUUUCACCAAUCAAGCCCCGCUUGGUAUUAGGCGACCCGGCCGGCCCCCCGUGGCCGGCCCGCCCGAAAUGCAUCGGCGAGGCACCGACCCCCGGCGUGUUAGAAUUUCUUUAACGUCGAGAGCACCGGUGUACCUCCGCCGUGAAACCUUCCAAUGUAAUUUUCUAAGGUUGACCUCGGAUCAGGUAGGAAUACCCGCUGAACUUAAGCAUAUCA
rnacentral:rRNA from 1 species